GUACCCGUAGCUCAGUUGGAUAGAGCGUGAGUUUGCGGAACUCAAGGUCGGAGGUUCGAGCCCUCUCGGGUACA
rnacentral:tRNA from 1 species